rnacentral:rRNA from 1 species
GACGAACGCUGGCGGUGUGCUUAACACAUGCAAGUCGAACGGUAAGGCCCUUUCGGGGGUACACGAGUGGCGAACGGGUGAGUAACACGUGAGUAACCUGCCCUCAUCUCUGGGAUAACAGUCGGAAACGGUUGCUAAUACUGGAUAUGAGCUUGCAAGGCAUCUUGUGGGUUGGAAAGAUUUUUUUUGGUUGGGGAUGGACUCGCGGCCUAUCAGCUUGUUGGUGAGGUGGUGGCUCACCAAGGCUUCGACGGGUAGCCGGCCUGAGAGGGCGACCGGCCACACUGGGACUGUGAUACUGCCCAAACUCCCACGCGAGGCAGCAGUGGGGAAUAUUGCACAAUGGACGGAAGUCUGAUGCAGCAACGCCGCGUGCGGGAUGAAGGGCUUCGGGUUGUAAACCGCUUUCAAUUGUGACGAAGCUUUUUUGUGACGGUAGCAGGAGAAGAAGCACCGGCUAACUACGUG